rnacentral:lncRNA from 1 species
ACACAUAGUGUAGGUUUGUCUAGCAAAGCGCCAACAAAAACAUCGCACCGGUGGUAGCACACUGGGUGUGUCUUAAGACACGUAAUGUCUGUUCUAAGCAGCACACGACCAUGGAAACACAAAUCUUAUCUAUAUCCUGAUCGCAGAAUCUUGGCCACAAACAUCUCCAAGCUAAAAACGCAGAUAACAUCAAAUCGAAAUGGUUCCAGAUAAGUCUCUGUCAGCAGGCAAUACAGCAGACAACAGGUACAAGAUUGAAAAAGGCAGCACCAGUCAGAUCACAACCAAUAAUCGGGUUAACGACCUUGAAAUUACAUCAUGAUGAUGUGAAUGCUCCACUCGGCCUAUGCUCCGUCGGUGAGGGACCGCUUCGACGUGCUGAUGUAUAGGACUGCACCCAAACAAGAGGCAAUCAGAACGGAGAAAAGGCAGGCAAAUUGGAGUUUGAUUGAAAUAUACAUGACACACAUACCGUUGUUGCCUCUUAUGAAGGCGUCACCAUACUUGUUCUUCAGUUGGCCGUUCACGUACUCUUCGGUUUGCUCCAUCGCAAUGUUCAUAUAGCCAUCCAGACAAGCCAGAAUACCUGGUUCAGAGUUGAUGUAAAUACAACGCUAUCAUUAAAUUUUGAAUAACCAUGUCCGGAUGCUAGCUAAGUCGACUGGAUAUAAGAUAAAAAUAAGGAGGGCGGCAUUUGCUGGAAAUUUAGUGUAUAUAUUGUUUUUAUUGUACACUUAAUGAACUGAGUUGGUGUAUGUAUCCAAGCAUGGGAAUUCCAAAUGCAACAGUAGUGCUCAUCAAGCAAUAGAACAUAUCACUCCAUUCUGAAUUAUAAGAUAUUUUGGAUACUUCAAUAUGGACUACAUACAGACUGAAACGAGUGAUCAGGCACAAUGAAAGGCGUCUAGAUACAUGUGAUUCAUAAAAAAACUAGAACAUCUUAUAAUUCGGAACGGAGGGAGUAGUUAUUAGACUCGCGAUUCGCCAUUUUCCAUGAAUUGAAUUCGAUAGGGGAUAUACAUCUACGAUUUGCGAAUCGGCUUGAUGGGAUUUGCGUUUCGGUUCAAUUUGACAAUCAAAGAUGAAAUAUAUUUUGAAGAACUAAAAGACGAGAGAAGACGACCCAUCAGGCAGUUGGACCAGCCCAGCAAGUGCCACUUCCUCUCUCAUAACCAAGAACCAUUGGAUGCUCAAAUAGUGAUCUGCACUGUCCAAGUCAAUACCCUCCUCAUUUCUGCCCUAACUCCCUGACAAACUAAGGUCAAAACCACCAGCCACACGUCCUCACUUCCUUCCUCCAGUCCCAGCCCCACAAACUGCUGCUCCUUCUACCCAACCGCUGCAGCCUGCUCCCAUGUCUUCCCAGCGACGUGUCCUUGUUGCUCCGCGCUGGCUGCAGCUCCCUCCCAUCUACUCCCAAUGAUGUCCAGGCUGCUCCUUGAUGGCCGGUGCUCCUGGUUGAUCGUUACUCCCACCUCGCCUGCAAUUAAUGGCAACGGAGGUAGCACGGUCAUGUAGCAACAGUGAGGACAUGGACACCCAUGUUCCUAUGACUUUGUCCUUGGGUCGCGAAUCGGGAACGAACCGAACGAAUUUGAACCAUGAUCUAGAUCAAUCGAUCCAGAUCAGAGUUCAACGAUGUUUUGAGCGAAUCCGGCAACUAUGCAAUAGAAGUGACAUAUCAACUUAGUGUGGUCAGUAUCGCUGUGUACUUCUAACAAUUAUUACAGUUACAGUUGCAAAGUGCAAAGUUUGCAGCAACUGGUCACUAAUGCACAUAGUGUAAACAAAGGUUUGUCCAUACGAGACUACGAGAGAAGAAAAAAGGGACCAAAUCAAAAGCACAUAUCACUAUUUUAGGAGGUUGCUAGCUUGAAGAAGGUAUCCAGCAGCUUGACACUUAACCAUUCUGCUUCCCAUUUACAGUUACUGCCGGAGUUGCUUUUGAUGGAACAAGACUAUGCACUGAGAAAUACCAUUUGUUAUCUUGCUAUUCUAGAAUGGUUAUUACUAUUUACUUAUCAUAUUUAACUUGGGCAGUCUUACUGAUAAACAGUAUACUACUAUAGUAGUAAAUUGCAGAACAAUGUAAAUUAAUGGGCACCCUCGUGUCUAAAUAUCUAUUGUUUUACAAAAGGAUAACCAUUACUAUUUCCAUGUAUCCCAAAUGUUAAGUCACAUGGAUUGACAAGGUAAACGGAUAUUGUCAAGAAUACAGUACUGCAGAUAAUUGUUUCUUUACUAGAACAGACAUUAGCACAAAUACCACCAGAGGCAGACAACACUAUUGACCCUUUGAACUUACUAGCGAGGCACUCACCAUAGCAGUAUAGUCACUGAGAAUAGCUACAGUGCACUUUCACCUUUCAUCACUAUAUCUUCUAACAUAUGUAUAAGCUACAAUUUUAGGCUACUCAAUGGAACUGUUAAUUAACUGACACGGUACUAGCUACAGUUCUUGCAGUGCAGUGCUUCGCAGGGUACAACAUGCCCAGCUGAGGACUGAGUCCAACCAUUUGAUCCAGGUGAUUCAUAGCUAGAUGCUUGGAGUUCAGGUCCUCACGUGUAAAUAUCCUGUAGCCCGUAUUUUAGAAUUUUAAUUCAUGCAAGAUAAAAUUUAAUAAACAUCUAAAGACUUUUUUACCUCAGUAAAAUAUUCCAAAAUAAGGGAAAUCACAGGAGCCUUAAAUCUUUCAAGUCUUGAAGGGUCAUCCAGAGAAGCACUGCGGCAGCAAUUAAAUAACUUCUGUUGCACAUUCCACACUCUCACUUUUACGGUUUUACCUACCAAUUGUGGUGGGAAUCAAGCUCUGAAGUAAGAUUUAAGGCUCCUGUGAUUAAAUAACUUCUGUCGCACAUUCCACACUCUCACUUUUACCUACCACAAACCGUGGUGGGAAUCAAGCUCUCAAGUAACUAGGAUACUUGGCUCAGUAGCAUUCUCUAGGUGAAGGAAGUGACUGCUGGAAGCCUGGAACUACCUAGGUGAAACUGAGAGUGAACUCAACAUGCAUAAAGCAAGCAUGCACCCAAAAUACAGGUGGUUAUCUAUUUAAUUUGUUCUUCACCUUUGUUCAAAAUAUUUUAUUCCAUGCUUUGUACCUGAUUCAAGCAUAUGAAGUGUGACAAGUUAUCAUAUGCUAAUGAGUAGCUGUGCCUUGGGGGAUCAAAGAGUUCUGCUCUUCUAGGAUGUUCGGAGUUUUAGUAGACACUGUUAAUGUCAGACUGUGAGAAGUGUGAAAUUUCACCCCCAUGACUGUGAACCCCGGGUUAGGAAGCUCAUGUUCAUUUUUUAUACCAAUUAGUUCCCUCUCUAAUAAAAAAAACAGUUAUCCCCGACAUUCUGUUAUUCUUGGUAAAUCACCAAAUAUAUUUUUUUGCCGGUGCAAUCAAAUAUUCUUGUGCAUGCUUGCUGAGUGUGACUUCAUACUCAUUCUUGCUUAUCCGAUUUUGGCAGCAAACAGCAGUGAUGGUCAUAAACUAAUGAUGGUGGGCAGUAGGUUUAGCACCAUGGGACGGAAUUAUAAAGUUUGUUUUUAGAGAUUUGUGUGCGGUAGAAAACGAUGGUCAUCGAUGAACAUGUACAAAUUUUAGCCUGGCAUGUUUAUGAAGUUGGGCUUAUAAAUGUGUGGUGGCUGUUCUGUCGAACCCCUGUUUUGGGGCGUGACAUCAAAUCUCAAUGGUCCCAAUAGAAGGAAUCUCUUGAUUACAAUGCACAUUUUGCGUAACAAUAUCCGAAUUCUUUAGAUUACUUCACUUGAAAUGUGUGGUGCAUAAAAUUAGAAUAUCAUGACAUAUGAAUGUACAUGUCAAAAUGCACAAGUUUCUUGAAUCAGUUUGCUACUUUACAACUUGUCUACAACCCCGAGAGACGAGAGUAAUUUGUGAAACCCAAAUAAUAGAGUUCAUUUGGUAAUUCUAGUUCUGCAAGAUGAGCUGCUGCCACGUGAGCUUCAAGCAAAGGGCAACGAACCUAACACUGAAUUAUCCUCCUUUGCAGAAGACCAAAUUUUACAGCUAAAAUAACCUAAAGCAUCUAGUAACUAUCCAAGUGAUAAAUCAACGUCGGUGCUCUCCGACCUAAACUCCGGGAUAAAAAGCUAUCCGCAAGCAGGCUCCCAGUAGCCCUGGUUUAUCUCAACAGAAGUCUCAUAGGUCGGGGGAUCUACCGAAUUUACCAAACUGCGCACAAAACAUACUGCGCUUCCUAGGGUUGGUGCUAUGGAAACGAGACAGGGAUGGAGACGGACCUCGGUAGUCGACGCCUGAGUUGAGUUUAACGACGACGGGUCGGCCCCUGAUCGACUUGAGGAAGUCUGACGGCGUCUUCACCGGCCCACCAGCUCCUCCGCCGCCGCUGCCGGACUUGUCCGCGCCGCCGGUGCUCAUCUCUCUCGGUUGUGUGGCUGGGACUGGGAGGCUGCGAGGGUUUGGUCUUGGGCUUGGUUGGGCUGAGUUGGGUGGGAUUCAGCUUUGAAGGCUCGGUCUGUUGGUUUGGAGUUCGAGGCGAACUGAGUUUACUGGACCUAGGGGAAAUCCUGUCUGUUAAUUAUAUAUCUAACGGAUCAGGAGAGACCUGGUGCAAUGCUUUAUUUUUCUCAUCAUACGAUAAGUAUCACAUGUAUGACACGAAGUAACACCGCCCCACCUUUCAAAAAAAAAGUAACACCGCCCUGACAUUUUUAUAACUACAAUUGCCAUCCAAAAAAUAAACCUCAAAAAACUGAAACUUGCCAUUCAAACAGAAAGUUAUCAUACUUCACAACUAAAGUUGCCAUCCUCGAGUAAUUAAAAUUGCCAUCCUCGAGUAACUAAAAUUGCCAUAAAAACGUUAGAACGGAAUUGCUUCAUGCCACAAGUGUGACACUUAAUAGGGUCCUUAUUUUUAUCUCCAAUCCAAAUUAAAUGACGCAACUUUGGGAGGGAGCACAACUUUUUAGCUUUCGUAUUCAUAUGCACAAAUACAUUAGAGUUUAAAGGAAGGAUAUAUGAUGGGUUUAAUGCACCGGUGAAAGUUACGCGGUACUAGAGAGGCUAGCAAUGAUGGAAGGAUGAGAGUGCGUAUAAUUCAUGGACUCAACAUUAGUCAUAUUCGGUAGAUCCAGGGCCCGCUUCAUCUUAACAACCACUCACCUCGAGCUCCUCGCUCCCUAGCCGCGCCGGUGGCCACUCCGGCCCCGGCGGCCACCCACUGCCUCUCGCCGGCCGCCUCCCCGACCCCCGAUGGACAUCUCCCCUCCCCCCUGGAGGCCAGCACCCGGUACCGCGCUGGCUUGCCUCAAGCCCCUCCUCCGCUGGAUCUGGCUCCGUGGCAUCCUCCUACCGCGACACCCUCCUCGCCUCCCCAGCCCCCUCUGUCGGCGACCUCCAGGCCGGUCCUCCGCCCCGCCGGCCCGGACCGCGGUCGGAGGUUCACCGCGUCGCCCUUCCGUUGGAGGAGCCAUGGCAGGCGGCCCGGGACCACCGCCGGAAGCGUCUGCGGUAGCCUCGCCCACGUCCGCGCCGCCCUGAGGCGCCCCCGCGUCUCCGCUCCCCGGCCGCUUCCGGUGGCGAGUGCCCCCGCUGCCUCUCCCCUGGCCACCUGCUCGCGGACUGCCGCAAGGACAUCCGUUGCCGGCGGUGCAGGUUCUUCGGUCACAAGGCACGCGCUUGCACCGUGCCCCAUGCCUCCCUCCCUCCGGCCAAGCGACCGCGCGCCGCGCCACCCUCCCCGGUGCCCAGCUUCAACGGUUCCGGCCUUCCCGUGUCCUCCGGGCAGGCCUCACCAUCCCCGUCGCCGGCCCCCUCCCCGCGCCCCUCGUCGACGUCCUCGGGCGCGGCUCCGCCUUCGCGGCCGUCUUCCUAGCCCUUGCUCGCGGCGCCGUCGCCGCGGCCCUUGUCGUCGUCCUCUGCUGCGGCGACUUCCUCCUCGGGCACUCCACCGUGAUGUCUGGCCAUCCCUCCCUCCGUCCCGCCUCCGCAACGUGCUUCCUCCCCCGCUCCGACGAGAUCGACGCCGCCGAGACUGCGCUUCAGCGUGCCCUGGUGGCCACGGUCGCCGGCCACCGUACUAGUGUCCCCUGCACUGACGUCACGGGGCUGGUUAGCGGGCGCUUCGACAUCCCCGCCGACGAGUUUUCGGUCCACCGUUGCGGCCCGGCGCAGUUCUUGAUCCGGUUCAGGAACAUGGAGGACCGUGCCCGGGUGGCUGCGGGCGUCGCCCGUGGGCCGCGGUUCCGCCUCCUCAUGCAUCCAUGGUGCCGCCUCGCCGACGCUCAGGAGGUCUCUCUCCGGUUCAAGGUCGACUUGGAGAUCUUCGGCAUCCCGGAGCACGGGUGGCACCGUUCGUCCGCGGUGACUCUGCUCGCGCCGUUCUGCAAGGUUGAUGAGCUCGCCCCCGAGACCAGCAGCGGCGCCGACAUGUCCGUGUUCCACCUAUCGGCGUGGACUCCCAACCCCGAUGUGAUCCCCCGGACUUCUAAUCUCUACCUCCCGGAGCAGGACGCGGUGCUCCCUGAUGCCAACCCCAACGUCGUCGAGCGCUUCGCGUUGGGGGUCCUGCGUUAUCCAGUGACCAUCCACGUGACGCGCUCCACGGACUUCCGUCUGCCUGCUCCGGCGCCGCCACCGCCGCCCCCUCUGACGACGGCAACCCCUUCGACGUGCCCCCGUCGCCGCCGUGCCCUGCCGCCUGGCCGCGUCACUGCGACUUUCCGCGUCGGUCCGGAAGCUCUGGUGAUGCGCGCCGUCCCCGCCCUGGCCCUGGCAACUCCGGCACCGGUCCGCGUUCUCGUCGUCGGCGCCACCCCCGUCUCCUCCCUCCGACUGGCACGGGAUCCUUGGAGCCCACCCGCUGCAUGCUGACGCUCCCCCCCGGGCCCAUGCAAAAAGCCGCCUCGGCUCGGCUAAAAGCCGCCUUGACCAUCGCUCGGGCAGCGCGACCUGGUCUCCCGCCCCGGCUGUGCCUGCGCGGCCCGCCCCCACACCGCUGCUGCUGACAUACUGGCCCCACCAAGAUUUGGAUGGAUAUUCCUCCCCUGGCCGCACAGCUCGCGAGACUUCCAUGGCCCCACCCUCGCUCCAUGACAAGGCGGAUGCUGGCCUGGGCCAGGCCUCCCUGACCAACGGGUGGUCAGAGGAUCAGGAGAGCGCGAUUCCCCCUCUCCCUGAUUCACCGCAGGCGGAUGCGGAUCCCGAGGCUUCCUCUUGCAUGGUGGCCCCGCUUUCCCCCUGGUGCCGCGGCAGAUCGGGACGGAUCCAGAGGCCGCAUUGUCGCCGACCCCACCAUCCCCCGCUGCAUGCACGUGCUCUCCCAGCCAGCUCUCUGCUGCGGCCACCCCCUUCCUGCCAGGUGUCCAAGCCCUACUCGCCCCAGCCUCGCUGGACCAUGCAGGCACCGCUCCAGCUACCCCCGAUGACUGCACUCUGCAGGACUUCAUCCUUGGGAUCCAACGCCGCGAAGCGCCGGUUCUCCCCACUCCUGGCCCCAAGAGGAAGAGAAAGGAGCUCCCACCCAACUUAACCCCGAGAAGGAGUCACCGGAUUGCAAAGAAUGACCGUGGACGGGACUCUGAAGCAAAGGCCAAGAGGGGGCUCCUACUUCGGCUCGGCCUUGUCCGCGAUGGCGAGCCUAUAUCCUCUGCUUCCAUGGAGCGAUACAGCA